UAUUAAAAAUUUUAUUUAUUUUUAUUGUUAAAAAGCGAGGUUGUUGACAAAAUAGUCAGGUAAUAACACAUAGUAUGUCACAUGCGCCUCAUUUUGACAUGGGUUGAUUUUUAACAGUAAAAAUCGCUUAAAUUUUUAAUG
rnacentral:pre_miRNA from 1 species